GAUGAACGCUGGCGGCGUGCCUAAUACAUGCAAGUCGAGCGAACAGAUGAGGAGCUUGCUCCUCUGACGUUAGCGGCGGACGGGUGAGUAACACGUGGAUAACCUACCUAUAAGACUGGGAUAACUUCGGGAAACCGGAGCUAAUACCGGAUAAUAUAUUGAACCGCAUGGUUCAAUAGUGAAAGACGGUUUUGCUGUCACUUAUAGAUGGAUCCGCGCCGCAUUAGCUAGUUGGUAAGGUAACGGCUUACCAAGGCAACGAUGCGUAGCCGACCUGAGAGGGUGAUCGGCCACACUGGAACUAAGACACGGUCCAGACUCCUACGGGAGGCAGCAGUAGGAAAUCUUCCGCAAUGGGCGAAAGCCUGACGGAGCAACGCCGCGUGAGUGAUGAAGGUCUUCGGAUCGUAAAACUCUGUUAUUAGGGAAGAACAAAUGUGUAAGUAACGAUGCACGUCUUGACGGUACCUAAUCAGAAAGCCACGGCUAACUACGU
rnacentral:rRNA from 1 species